CGGGAAAAGCUCAAAUUUAAAAUCUGGCGGUUUCACCGUCCGAGUUGUAAUUUAGAGAAGUGUUGCCCGUGCUGGACCGUGUACAAGUCUCUUGGAAUGGAGCGUCGUGGAGGGUGAGAAUCCCGUACAUGACACGGACUGCCAGGACAUUGUGGUACGCUCUCGAA
rnacentral:rRNA from 1 species